GUUCCCAUCCUAUCACCGAAGUUAAGCAACGUCGAGCCUUGUCAGUACCUAGAUUGGUGACCACUUGGGAAUACCAGGUGCUGUAAA